rnacentral:rRNA from 1 species
GACGAACGCUGGCGGCGUGCUUAACACAUGCAAGUCGAACGGCAAGGCCCUUCUUUUGUGGGGUGCUCGAGUGGCGAACGGGUGAGUAACACGUGAGUAACCUUCCCUUGACUUUGGGAUAACUUCCGGAAACUGGGGCUAAUACCGGUUCGGAGCUCCUGCUGCAUGGUGGGGGUUGGAAAGUUUCGGCGGUUGGGGAUGGACUCGCGGCUUAUCCGCUUGUUGGUGGGGUAGUGGCUUACCAAGGCCUUGACGGGUAGCCGGCCUGAGAGGGGGACCGGCGACAUUGGGACUGAGAGAGGGACCAGACUGCUACGGGAGGCAGUAGGGGGGAAUAUGGAACAAUGGGGGGAAGCCUGAUGAAGAAACGCCGCGUGCGGGAUGAAGGCCUUCGGGUUGUAAACCGCUUUGGCCUGUGACGAAGCGUGAGUGACGGUAAUGGGUAAAGAAGCACCGGCUAACUACGUG